UGGUACUGAUGCUCUAUUAAUGGGGUAGGAUCUGAGACUCCUUUCGGGGUUACACAGGCUCUCCUACCCAACUCCAAUUCCGUCACGUCCUCGUCGAACAGUUUGGUAACUUUCCCCACCACAUAUCCAAGCUUGGGUACACGGGCCUGUCCCAACCCCUUGGGCGAAUUGUGGAGACAGGCUAAACAGGAGGGG
rnacentral:ribozyme from 1 species